UAAAGCUGCUAUGCCUUAGUCUUGGGGUCCAAGUCCCUGCUCCGCUGUGUCAGGUAUACUUAGACCCACGCUCCAGCUUGUGAAUAAACCCUCUUGUGUUUGCAUCGGUGUCGGCUUCUCGGUGGUUUCUAGGAUUCACAAUCUUGGCCACAACAUUUGGGGGCUCGUCCGGGAUCUGAGAGACCUCCAGGACCUUAUCCGGAGGAUUUCACGCGUGGUCAGCAUUGACUUAGGCGGAUGCGCUGGUGGGCCAUCAACCGGGGGUCUUGAGGAGACGUCCCUUGCCCCUGCCUGGAGGAUGGAGGUCCUAUCUGUAAGGAGGAUGGAGGUCCUCAUCUGUAUGGAGGAUGAGCGUCCUCAUAUGUUAAGGCCGUGAACUUCAGGGACAAACCAGAUGGCCACCCUGACCAGAUGCCCAACAUCCUGGCCUGUCAGGACAUGAUCGAGAAUUCCCCUCCUUGGCUAAAACCCGUUUUUACUCCCCAAAGCACACAACUCGCCUGAAGGUAAGGAGAGACUCCGGGUCCACCGCCAGACUCUAAUGGCAGGUCUCCAGGCUGCCGCGUGCAAGACUACCAAUCUGGCCAAGGUCUAUGAUGUGAGACAGGGUAAGGAUGAGAGUCCA